rnacentral:rRNA from 1 species
AGAGUUUGAUCAUGGCUCAGAAUCAACGCUGGCGGCGCGCUUAACACAUGCAAGUCGAACGAGAAAGUGGAGCAAUCCAUGAGUAAAGUGGCGUACGGGUGAGUAACACGUGGGUAAUCUACCUUCUGGUGGGGAAUAACAUUGGGAAACCGAUGCUAAUACCGCAUAACCCCGCAAGGGAAAAGGAGAAAUUCGCCGGAAGAGGAGCCCGCGGCUGAUUAGCUAGUUGGUAGGGUAACGGCCUACCAAGGCGAAGAUCGGUAGCCGGCCUGAGAGGGCACACGGCCACACUGGCACUGAAACACGGGCCAGACUCCUACGGGAGGCAGCAGUGGGGAAUCUUGCACAAUGGGGGCAACCCUGAUGCAGCGACGCCGCGUGAGCGAUGAAGCCCUUCGGGGUGUAAAGCUCUUUCGGCAGGAACGAUAAUGACGGUACCUGAAGAAGAAGCUGCGGCUAACUACGUGCCAGCAGCCGCGGUAAUACGUAGGCAGCAAGCGUUGUUCGGAGUUACUGGGCGUAAAGAGUGCGUAGGCGGUUUUCUAAGUUUGGUGUGAAAUCUCCCGGCUCAACUGGGAGGGUGCGCCGAAAACUGGAAGGCUUGAGUAUGGGAGAGGUAAGCGGAAUUCCUGGUGUAGCGGUGAAAUGCGUAGAUAUCAGGAGGAACACCUGUGGUGUAGACAGCUUACUGGACCAUCACUGACGCUGAGGUACGAAAGCGUGGGUAGCAAACAGGAUUAGAUACCCUAGUAGUCC